UGCCUGUUCUUCCUGUGAUGGUGAAAGCACAAGUCUCUGGAGAGGCUACUGAAUCUAAAGCUACUUUGCAGGAGCUGUGGGUGGCAGAGACCUCCUUCCUCAGGGAAGCCAAGGACAUAAUCACAGUGAGGAGAUCUGUGAGGCAGCCGGGAGCCAGGGCUUCCAUGACACGGGCCCAGCUCUGUACCUUUAAGGUUGUGAAAAUCUAGUAAAAAUGUUCCUGAGUUGCUUUGGGUGUCUACUUGGCAUGUUCUCAAUAGCUUGAUUACCUGUGAACAACUUUAAUAUUUCUAGCCUCAUUUGAUCAUAUUUUGUG
ensembl:misc_RNA